AGUGAACGCUGGCGGUAGGCCUAACACAUGCAAGUCGAACGGCAGCACAGUAAGAGCUUGCUCUUACGGGUGGCGAGUGGCGGACGGGUGAGGAAUACAUCGGAAUCUACUUUUUCGUGGGGGAUAACGUAGGGAAACUUACGCUAAUACCGCAUACGACCUACGGGUGAAAGCAGGGGAUCUUCGGACCUUGCGCGAUUGAAUGAGCCGAUGUCGGAUUAGCUAGUUGGCGGGGUAAAGGCCCACCAAGGCGACGAUCCGUAGCUGGUCUGAGAGGAUGAGGAGCCACACUGGAACUGAGACACGGUCCAGACUCCUACGGGAGGCAGCAGUGGGGAAUAUUGGACAAUGGGCGCAAGCCUGAUCCAGACAUACCGCGUGGGUGAAGAAGGCCUUCGGGUUUUAAAGCCCUUUUGUUGGGAAAGAAAAGCAGCAGGUUAAUACCCCGCUGUUCUGACGGUACCCAAAGAAUAAGCACCGGCUAACUUCGUG
rnacentral:rRNA from 1 species